GUCGAACGGCAGCACGGGGGCAACCCUGGUGGCGAGUGGCGAACGGGUGAGUAAUACAUCGGAACGUGUCCUGUAGUGGGGGAUAGCCCGGCGAAAGCCGGAUUAAUACCGCAUACGAUCUACGGGAGAAAGCGGGGGAUCCUUCGGGACCUCGCGCUAUAGGGGCGGCCGAUGGCAGAUUAGCUAGUUGGUGGGGUAAGGGCCUACCAAGGCGACGAUCUGUAGCUGGUCUGAGAGGACGACCAGCCACACUGGGACUGAGACACGGCCCAGACUCCUACGGGAGGCAGCAGUGGGGAAUUUUGGACAAUGGGGGAAACCCUGAUCCAGCAAUGCCGCGUGUGUGAAGAAGGCCUUCGGGUUGUAAAGCACUUUUGUCCGGAAAGAAAACUUCUGCCCUAAUACGGUGGGAGGAUGACGGUACCGGAAGAAUAAGCACCGGCUAACUACGUGCCAGCAGCCGCGGUAAUACGUAGGGUGCGAGCGUUAAUCGGAAUUACUGGGCGUAAAGCGUGCGCAGGCGGUUCGUUAAGACAGAUGUGAAAUCCCCGGG
rnacentral:rRNA from 1 species